rnacentral:sRNA from 1 species
UAAGAGUCAUUACGCUCACCGCCUCCGC